rnacentral:lncRNA from 1 species
UUCUUGUGUUUAAUUAUCAAUAUUACUUGACAAAGAAGCUUUCCACUCGCUAAGCUUCUCACGAAAGUACCAAACAUAUCAUUAUCUGCAAAACUAACCAGAGUUUUAAUUAAUGUUUUGUUUUACACAAUCAAUUUUAUUGAGUCACCUCUGCUUAUUAGUUAGUUACCAUAUCGAACAAGAAAUUUGGAACAGUUGCCAAGGGAACCUCCAAUAUUACAAACAAUAUGUGGUUUCCAGAGGACUUGUAAACAUGUUCCACGCACGGAGACGAUAAAUGUGCUAAACAUAGAAGAAUCACCAAUCCUACUUUUCACCUUGACAAGUUUAAGGUAUCUCUAAUCUCUAUAGUUCCUUAAUGUUGUUGUCACAUCAUUUUUUAUCAAAAUUUUUUAUUUAUUAAGUUUAAAAAGGGUUUUCGAAUUUGAAUAUGACUAAAAAGGUAUUAAAAAAAAAUUGGAUGAAAAAUUAGAGUCGUCACUUGACAUUGAUGAGUUUCGAUGUGCCAAAUCACCUAGAAAAUAUUCCUUUUGAAAAUAUUUGACUCUAAACUGAUCAGCGAAUAGAGAUUCCGGUUUAGAAAAUCUAUUGACGGAGGAAAAGGUGUCAGGCACCCCUCAAUUCCGUGAUUUUAGCAUGGUCACUUCAUUGAUUUGUAUCGGCUAAAUAGAUACUAUAACUAAAUAGGUCUCACAAAAACCAAGCAAACAGACAAGCGAUGCAUAGAAAUAAACAAUAAUGUUUAGUCCAAUUAUAUAAUCUAAAACAAAAAGAAAGUAUGAAAAUAAACCUACACUAUCCUAAUUCCCAACUAAAGUAAACUAUUUUUUACCCAACUUUUCGGGUCUUGUUCACGAUCGGCCACCAAAUUCGAACUGUCACGAAGCAUUCCCCGGUGAAUAAAUGUAUUUGAUCAAAACAAUGAAAUAAAAAUCAAUCAAACAAGCAGUUCGAAUAUUCAAUAAUUAUGGAAUCCUAAAAUUUGCCUAGCCAAUUCGACGACCUAAACAUGCUCCUAUGAAUCGAAAAUAAAUUCAAACAAAUAAUAAGAAUGGGAGACAGCUCGACAGUGAUUCUUCGGGCACGCUGUUCUACAUCCUCUAUUGUGGUGAGUCCUC